AGAGUUUGAUCCUGGCUCAGGAUGAACGCUGGCGGCGUGCCUAAUACAUGCAAGUCGAGCGAACGGACGAGAAGCUUGCUUCUCUGAUGUUAGCGGCGGACGGGUGAGUAACACGUGGAUAACCUACCUAUAAGACUGGGAUAACUUCGGGAAACCGGAGCUAAUACCGGAUAAUAUUUUGAACCGCAUGGUUCAAAAGUGAAAGACGGUCUUGCUGUCACUUAUAGAUGGAUCCGCGCUGCAUUAGCUAGUUGGUAAGGUAACGGCUUACCAAGGCAACGAUGCAUAGCCGACCUGAGAGGGUGAUCGGCCACACUGGAACUGAGACACGGUCCAGACUCCUACGGGAGGCAGCAGUAGGGAAUCUUCCGCAAUGGGCGAAAGCCUGACGGAGCAACGCCGCGUGAGUGAUGAAGGUCUUCGGAUCGUAAAACUCUGUUAUUAGGGAAGAACAUAUGUGUAAGUAACUGUGCACAUCUUGACGGUACCUAAUCAGAAAGCCACGGCUAACUACGUGCCAGCAGCCGCGGUAA
rnacentral:rRNA from 1 species